CACGUGGGUAACCUGCCCAAAAGAGGGGGGAUAACACUUGGAAACAGGUGCUAAUACCGCAUAAUUUGUUAAACCGCAUGGUUUGAUAAUGAAAGACGGCGUAAGCUGUCACUUUUGGAUGGACCCGCGGCGUAUUAGCUAGUUGGUGAGGUAAAAGGCCCACCCAAAGGCAAUGAUACGUAGCCGACCUGAGAGGGUGAUCGGCCACAUUGGGACUGAGACACGGCCCAAACUCCUACGGGAGGCAGCAGUAGGGAAUCUUCCACAAUGGACGAAAGUCUGAUGGAGCAACGCCGCGUGAGUGAAGAAGGUUUUCGGAUCGUAAAGCUCUGUUGUUAGAGAAGAAUGUAGGUAAGAGUAACUGUUUACCUAGUGACGGUAUCUAACCAGAAAGCCACGGCUAACUACGUG
rnacentral:rRNA from 1 species